rnacentral:rRNA from 1 species
GGCCAGACUCCUACGGGAGGCAGCAGUGGGGAAUAUUGCACAAUGGGGGAAACCCUGAUGCAGCGACGCCGCGUGAGUGAAGAAGUAUUUCGGUAUGUAAAGCUCUAUCAGCAGGGAAGAAAAUGACGGUACCUGACUAAGAAGCCCCGGCUAACUACGUGCCAGCAGCCGCGGUAAUACGUAGGGGGCAAGCGUUAUCCGGAUUUACUGGGUGUAAAGGGAGCGUAGACGGCAUGGCAAGUCAGAUGUGAAAGCCCGGGGCUCAACCCCGGGACUGCAUUUGAAACUGUCAGGCUGGAGUGCAGGAGAGGUAAGUGGAAUUCCUAGUGUAGCGGUGAAAUGCGUAGAUAUUAGGAGGAACACCAGUGGCGAAGGCGGCUUACUGGACUGUAACUGACGUUGAGGCUCGAAAGCGUGGGGAGCAAACAGGAUUAGAUACCCGGGUAAA